rnacentral:rRNA from 1 species
UACAGAGGGUGCAAGCGUUGUUCGGAAUUAUUGGGCGUAAAGGGCGCGUAGGCGGUGCGGUAAGUCUGUAGUGAAAUCUCUGGGCUCAACUCAGAGUCUGCUGCAGAAACUGCCGUGCUUGAGUGUGGGAGAGGUGAGUGGAAUUCUCGGUGUAGCGGUGAAAUGCGUAGAUAUCGGGAGGAACACCUGUGGCGAAAGCGGCUCACUGGACCACAACUGACGCUGAGGCGCGAAAGCUAGGGGAGCAAACAGG